rnacentral:rRNA from 1 species
AGCGAACGCUGGCGGCAGGCUUAACACAUGCAAGUCGAGCGGGCCCUUCGGGGUCAGCGGCAGACGGGUGAGUAACACGUGGGAACGUGCCCUUCGGUUCGGAAUAACUCAGGGAAACUUGAGCUAAUACCGGAUACGCCCUUUUGGGGAAAGGUUUACUGCCGAAGGAUCGGCCCGCGUCUGAUUAGCUAGUUGGUGGGGUAAUGGCCUACCAAGGCGACGAUCAGUAGCUGGUCUGAGAGGAUGAUCAGCCACACUGGGACUGAGACACGGCCCAGACUCCUACGGGA